rnacentral:rRNA from 1 species
AUUGAACGCUGGCGGCAGGCCUAACACAUGCAAGUCGGACGGUAGCACAGAGAGCUUGCUCUCGGGUGACGAGUGGCGGACGGGUGAGUAAUGUCUGGGGAUCUGCCCGAUAGAGGGGGAUAACCACUGGAAACGGUGGCUAAUACCGCAUAACGUCGCAAGACCAAAGAGGGGGACCUUCGGGCCUCUCACUAUCGGAUGAACCCAGAUGGGAUUAGCUAGUAGGCGGGGUAACGGCCAACCUGGGCGACGAUCCCUAGCUGGUCUGAGAGGAUGACCAGCCACACUGAGACUGUGACACAGUCCAGACACCUACGGGAGACAGCAGUGGUGAAUAUUGCACUGUGGGCUCAAGCCUGAUGCAGCCAUGCCGCGUGUAUGAAGAAGGCCUUCGAGUUGUAAAGUACUUUCAGCGGGGAGGAAGGCGAUGUGGUUAAUAACCGCAUUGAUUGACGUUACCCGCAGAAGAAGCACCGGCUAACUCCGUGCCAGCAGCCGCAGUAA